GGCUGCAGUAUACACUGGCAGUCCUCCUAAAAUGAUCUCUGUCUUUUUAAAUCAUCACUUCCCCUCAGAGGUACUGUUGGGCUUGUGCCAGCAGGCUCUGGUAUGGUGUCACCCCAACAGGGACCUGAGAAUUAGAGAUCAAGUGAAGGACACCUCAGAAAAGUGAGCUCAGAAAAGUCUCUCAUAGAAACUUCUGGCCUCUGGACACUGUGGGAGCAACUUUUCCUUUAUUAGACUGUCUCCUCUUUAACUGUACCUAGAAGAUACUUUAGCACAGCAAGCAUCUCUUUUAUGCUUACAUUAUGCAGUUAUGCAGACUUGGUGUACGUCCUUCAAGGACAGUCUAAGAAUCUUUGAUUCUAUUUCUGCUGGAUACAUUGUUGCAGAGAUGUAAGAAGGAAGGACUUAGAAAAGAAUAUUGCAGCAUGACUGGGAAGCCUGUCCUUCAUUACUUCAAUUGAAGAAGAAGAAUGGAGUCCAUCCGGUGGCUCCUGGCAGCAGCUGGAGUAGAGUUUGAGGAAGAACUUUUUGAAACCCAUGAAGAGUUUGAGAAGUUAAUCCAAGGUGGAACCCUGAUGUACGAGCAAGUGCCCAUGGUGGAAAUCGAUGGAAUGACUUUGGUGCAGACCAGUGCCAUCUUAAGAUAUGUAGCUGCAAAAUAUGACUUGUAUGGAAGGAACCUGGAGGAACAAGCCUGAAGAGAAGGAGAUGAACCUUGAAUACAUCCUCCACCGAGCUACAACAAGAUUCUUCCCCGUUUAUGAGAAGGCCCUGAGAGACCACGGGCAAGACUUUCUUGUGGGCAAUCGGCUGAGCUUGGCUGAUGUCCAGCUCCUUGAAGUCAUCUUAAUGGCUGAAGAAUGCAAAGCCAGUGUUCUCUCGGGUUUCCCUCUGCUACAGGACUUCAAGGUGAGAACCAGCCAAAUUCCUACAAUUAACAGCUUCCUCCAACCUGGAAGCCAGAGGAAGCCUCCUUUGGAGGAGCGAUCCAUUGGGACUGCAAAGGACAUAUUCAAAUUUGAAUGAGGACUGUUUCUUAAAAACAUGAGCAAUAUAGUAGCUGAGUAUUAACAGCUACAGAGGCUGGAGUUACUCAGUAAGUAUACUGAGUAACUUGACACUGCAUUCAUAAAAAGACACUCACUAAGUAUAUGGCCAGAGAAAUAUCCUGAAGUUAGUAAUAAAUGUUAGGAAUCUUAGUAUGUUAGCAAUGUUAGAAUGUUAGUAAUGGAAAUAUUAAAUGUGUAAGAGAAAAACUACUAGAAGCUUAUCAAUAAACUACAAGAACCAACUCUUGUUUGAAGUAAGACAGGCUACCAAGACAGAAUUCAGAAAAUCCAAGGAGCCCUCGGCCUUCUGUAUGAUCCUAGAAUAAACUUGUAUGUAGCAA
rnacentral:lncRNA from 1 species